rnacentral:pre_miRNA from 1 species
GUGUUCUAUCCUUCAUUCCACCGGAGUCUGUAUCUGUAUUUAACCAGAUUUCAGUGGUGUGAAGUGUAAAAGACA